UUCUCCUAUAAUUAUAAUCUACAUCAGAUCAACAUAUAAUUAUAUUACAGAUAAUAUAAAAAAUGCUUAAAUAAUCAAAAAGAAAAUUUAAUCAAAUACAUAUACUUUAAAGCACGCGUGAAGCGCAGCCAUAUUCUCUAGUAUUGUAGAUGUCUAAUGAAAAUUGAGAAGUUAGUGAAUUUUAAAGGAAAGAAAAAGAGGAAUAUAGUGCAAUAAUAAAUAAUGAAACGUUUAAGCAAUGGAGGUAUGAUUAAUUAGGAUUUAAAAGAGUAAUCUCCUAUAUAUAUAUAUAUAUAUAUAUAUAUAAUGAGAAAACCUCUCUUCCGUUCUUUCACAAAAAAAAAAACCUCGCUUCAGUUCGUAAGCAAAACACUUCAUUGAUUUUCCAAAAAAUGAAUUUUCUUUCCACAAUUUCUUUUUCGAUCAUUGAAAAUUCAUUAGUUUUUUCUUAAAAAAUCAAUUUUAUGGUCUAAUUUCUACUUUUUUAGCAAAGCAGAAUUUGGUUUCAUAUCAGAAGAGGAAGAUGGGUUUCAUGUCAAUCUGAUGGGAUAUUUGUGGACUGAAGUAGUGGCGAGAGAUACGAGUUGUGCACCAUGAAAAUUUGGGAAAUUGCUUUUCAGAAAACGUAUCUGCCGGUUCAAUUUUGGUGAAGGGUAAUGUUGAAAGGAUUUCUCCAUCAUCCCGAUCUUUCCACAAACUCAUGAAACAUAAAUAGAUGUCGGAGUGGAUAAAAUUGAUGUUCAAUCUGAAUUUUUAAGAAAAUGUAAUUAAUUUUUUGUGGUUCAGCUUCUUUCAUGUUAUAAUGGUGUUUUGUUGGUAUAACUUCAUAAUGUUUUAGCAAAUAUUUAAGAUGAUCAGAACUUGAAGACAA